rnacentral:rRNA from 1 species
UGGAGAGGGGGCCUGAGAAACGGCUACCACAUCUACGGAAGGCAGCAGGAGCGAAAAUUGCCCAAUCCCGACACGGGGAGGCAGUGACGAGAAAUAACAACUCUUGGUUAUUCUAAGAAGUGUAAUGAGGAUAAUUUAAAACCCUUACCGAAAGCAAUUGGAGGGCAAGUCUGGUGCCAGCAGCCGCGGUAAUUCCAGCUCCAAUAGCGUAUAUUAAAGUUGUUGCAGUUAAAAAGCUCGUAGUUGAAGUUCUGGCUGUUUGACCCUCGAGCUCUGUAGCCGAGGGCUCAACAGUCAUCCGCUUGCAAACAUAUGUUCGCCUUUAACCGGGCGGCUAUGUGAGUAAGCAUUUUACCUUGAGAAAAACAGAGUGUUCCAGGCAGGUUUGUCCGGAAUGCAUUAGCAUGGAAUAAUAGAAUAUGACUGAAGUCGAUUUAUUGGUUUGAGGCUUUAGUAAUGAUUAAUAGGAACAGUCGGGGGCAUUGGUACUUGACAGUCAGAGGUGAAAUUCUAGGAUUUGUCAAAGACUAACAAAUGCGAAAGCAUUUGCCAAGGAUGUUUUCAUUAAUCAAGAACGAAAGUUAGGGGAUCAAAGACGAUCAGAUACCGUCCUAGUCUUAACUAUAAACUAUACCGACUCGGAUUCAGAUGAAUCAUAAAGUUCAUUUGGGACCGUAGGAGAAAUCAAAGUUUUUGGGUUCUGGGGGAAGUAUGGUCGCAAGGCUGAAACUUAAAGGAAUUGACGGUUUUGCACCACCAUGGAGUGGAGUCUGCGGCUUAAUUUGACUCAACACUGGGAAACUCAUCAGGGCAAGAAGAUUGUAGGAUUGACAGAUUGAGAGUUCUUUCUUGAUUGGUCUAGUGGUGGUGCAUGGCCGUUCUUAGUUGGUGGAGUGAUUUGUCUGGUUAAUUCCGUUAACGAACGAGACCUUAACCUGCUAACUAGUACGUCGAUGACAAAUCGAUGAUACUUCUUAGAGGGACUAUGUGAUGUAAUCACAUGGAAGUUUGAGGCAAUAACAGGUCCGUGAUGCCC